rnacentral:rRNA from 1 species
UACGUAGGUGGCGAGCGUUGUCCGGAUUUACUGGGUGUAAAGGGCGUGUAGGCGGGAAUGUAAGUCAGAUGUGAAACUCCGGGGCUCAACCUCGGAACUGCAUCUGAAACUAUGUUUCUUGAGUGCUGGAGAGGAAGGCGGAAUUCCUAGUGUAGCGGUGAAAUGCGUAGAUAUUAGGAGGAACACCAGUGGCGAAGGCGGCUUUCUGGACAGUAACUGACGCUGAGGCGCGAAAGCGUGGGGAGCAAACAGG